UUGGACUUCUACCUUUAAUUUAGUAAAAAAAUUAUAUUAAUUAAUUCUUUAGUUUUGUGUUUAUCUCAAUUUAAAAAUGGUAGAACUAGAUGUGCACUUCGGACAUAUUUUAUUGUAUUAUUUCCGAAAAGGCAAAAACGCAUCGCAAGCACAAAAAAAUUUAUGUACCGUAUAUGGGAAUAAAGCCUUAAAAGAAAAGCAGUGUUAAUAUUGAUUUGCCAGAUUUCGUUCUGGUGAUUUUUCACUGAAAAAUGCUCAAUGAUCUUGUCGUCCAGUUAAAAUCGAUGAAGCCUACAUCAGGGCCAUUAUCGAUUCAGAUCGUCAUAGCACAACACGUGAUAUUUCAGAGAAGCUUUAUGUUUCGCAUACAUGCAUUGAAAAAAAAUUUAAAAAGCUGAGCAAUGUCAAGAAACUCGAUUUAUGAAUCCCUCACCAGCUUAAGGGGGGAAAUAAGUGUAGAGGCUUCAAAAAAUUCAAUUUUUUUUUAUAAAUCGCUUGUAAAACUAUUUAAAAUUAUAUUUUUAAAAUUUCAAGUCAAAAUUGCAGUUCGUUCAAAAGUUAUAAACGAUUAAGUGAAUGCCCUUCGGUACAAGGUCUGAGCGCGUGACUUGUAAAACGGAGCGGUCGAGUAGGUCAUAUACUACCAGCGGAGAUAUCAGCUGUCACGCAUUGUAGGUUGCCAUCCGACUGAGCAGUUUGUGUACAUCUUGGAAGCCACAAUUUUUAUCUGAAAUCAAUUACAAAGACAAAUUACUUCUUUUUA
rnacentral:lncRNA from 1 species